AAUCCGUCAUGCGCUAUGUAUUUCAACGAGGACCUCUACAAAUGGAUAAUCAGAAGCAACAAAAGAGCCAUUCAUUUCCCUUCCUCAUAGUGAGCUGCUCUCUUCUGUCUGUAAGCUCUUCUCGAGUAUCCUUCUCAGGGAAUUUCUCACUUUUCUUGAAACCUCGUACCCUCUGCUCCACACCUACCUCAUUGAGCUCUUUAUGAAUGUACUCAUAGUCACCGAGCAGAGGUCUAUUAGUCCGCGAAGUUUUACAAAGAAGAAAAGCCUACCUCUAUACUUUUAUUUAAGAGAGACAAAACUAAGGAAAAAAAUAGACUCUUUGGUCGUUUUAUUUGCACAGGAUUAAUGGAAUUCAUGCUGUGCAUUUUUUUUUUUUUUUUUUAAAUCUGAGUUAAGUGAACCUCCUGAAUGUUGUUGCUGAGACAAUACUCAGAUCGCUGUUGAGGCUGCAUGAUUCAUUGUCAUUGGAAGGCUUUGCUAAAAAGGAAUUAGGGUACAGGACGGCAGUGUCUUCAUCGUUUCCAUUAUAGGCAAAUGUUUUUUUGGGGGGGUUUUGUUUUAUGUUUUGGGGGUCUAAUGACAUUGCCCCCUCAUCGCUAUGCUUGAGUUUGCAUAGGCAUUACGGCCCAACCAGAACGUGGGAAGAAAAUGCCACAAUGACAUGAUGUAAAAAAAAAAAACAAGCUCAGGUAAUACGUCGGCUGAUUAGAAGAGAUCAGCGCUUUUCAGGCCUCCUUUAAGCUUCACUCGUAUGUUCACUAUAGCGCAUCAGGCCUGUGAUGACAUUCGAAAAUGUCGUGCCCCAGAUUUUUCGACCUAUUGUUCGACUGGAUUUGUGUUUUCGUUACGGUCCAGUCAACUGCAUGACCAACUAGGAUGCAAAGAUGAGUAUGCAAGGACCGCUUGCUCUCCUCCGAAAAGAGAGGACCCACAAAUGGAUGUGGGGGAUACAUUUUUCGAAGAUCGGGAUCUAUUAGGGAUCCUAAAGUAGAGAUUUGAUCGUAGUUAAAUGACACCUUUUUCCCCGAGGCAGUGUUUGACAAAUGCCUCCGAAGUAGAGAGUCCAGAGGACGAACAUCAAAUAGACUUAAGACUUGACAAAACAGUGAACGCUUCCUGUUCGCGGGGGAGAUGGACUGAGCCCUGUCGCGAAAAUCCAUGCCUAAUUGACACCCCCCCUGAAAGGGUUUAAUUGCCUCUAGACGCCACUAGAUGGUGACAAAGCACUAUGUUUGUCCGAAUGAAGCUCAAACUCGCUUCGACAUAGCUUGGGGCAUUCGCGUUCCCCGGCACCUUGCGAAGGCCCACCCGCGAAUGCGCGGCGCUUCACUGUACAAUCCUUUGGACGUAAGCUGCGGUUGAAAGGCGCCCUCUUCCGAACCAACGAAAGGGCGCGACCACCCGAGCUCACCCCAAUUUAUUAACGCUCAGGUCUCAGGAAGCACCUUCAGACCUGUGCGCUAGUAGACCAAUCCUCUAAAGAUGGAGGUCUAUCGACCAACUACUAGAUUCAACCAAAGUUAGAAUAUCUGCACAGUGGCCAACUAAAAAACUGGCAUUUCAAAUAUUCUUAAAAAGUCACGUUCUUCAAUAAUCCUCAAUGCUGGGAAACGUUACCGGUGUAACUCGUGGAGUUUGGGAGCGCCGCCCGCUGACACCGCACGAGUACUUGGAUGUCCUCUCUGAAUCCAGCCGCUUAGAAAACCAAAGAGAACCGUCCCCUGCCCCUUCGGAGUCCACCCACCUAUCCGAUGUAGAACAAUCCGUCGCGCCCCGAAAAUACCCUUGUGAGCAAAUCCUCCAAUUAGUGGGGGUGGGGGUGGGCGUUGGCUCCUCGCCCUUCUUUCAAUCUGUGCCCCGCUUGAACGCACUCGACAAUUCAUGUCCUGUUGGUGGCUUUCGUGUUCGAGCAAAAACUGUGGAAAGAAUUACCGACGGGCUCUCUUCUCUGAGGAGAGAGGACCUGUCCGCACAUGAUCCCGACCGACACCUUCUCAUGGAAUACGUUCAUUCAGCCUCAGUGUUUAGUCAGCUUGUGGACCUCAAUGCCUCAACUCACUUUGUAGCUACUGUUCACUUUCAUAUACCUCAAACUUGUGUAGUUUCUAUUUCGAUACCUCAUUUUGACUUUUGAUUUUGUGCAUUUUUUCAUGUGUUGACAUACCUCAUCAGAUGUGUAUACAUCACUCUUAUACCUCAUUCUUUGACCGGUGCAGUACAGCGCGUGGCCCAUAGCCGGAGGACCAAAGAUUGUGGCACCGUUGAAAACUUGUUGCGGUCGCGUGUCCCCAUCGGGCAACCUUGAGCAGCUUUUCCGCUAGGUUGACUUUGCUGUACGAUUAAUUGCCUAUUUUCUUUGUAGUUGUUAUUUUUUUUUAAUUCGAAAAAAAAAAAAUCACCAACCAAACCAAAUAGUUCCGUCAAUAACAUAGUGCCAAAAUGAUCUCUGGGAGUUGUGUGCCAAGGACCGCUCUGUUGUUGAUGACAAAACGCCACUGGACCACGAUAUCGAAGAUAUAUAAAUGUUGAGUGAGUCGGGCCGGCCGCAGGAUAAAUCCUGCGGCUCUCCGAUGGCGUGCACUUACGAGGGCUGGGCCCUGGUUCUCUUUGACCUCACAACGACGACCUCCGCAGAUUUCCGUUUGUACGUUAGUUAAAGGGGCAGCGGGGGGGAGGGAGUGUUAAAAAAAAAAAAACAACCCUCACUCGCCGCACAAGAAUUACACACAGACUUUGCUCAACUUUCAGCACAACUGACCAAUAUUUAUGCCCACAGCGGGACUUGUCUUGACUGCGGUGCCAACAAUGAUGAACGUCAUGAACGAAAAGGUUUUCUACUUAGCACACGGAGGAACAAUACCAACAGUCGUGCUUGUUUUUGCGUUUUCAGUAUUACUGUGUUCAUCCACGUCCGCAUCCUUUUUCGGAAAACUAAGAUUGUAGAGUUCUAUCUUUAAGAUCCUUAGAUCUUCUCUCUUUAAGAGGAAAAAAAACAAACAUAUUUUUAACCUAUUAAUUACUUAUUCAUUUUGUUGCAUGCUUAAAAGAAAGAAAUCCUUAUCAGAUUGAUGUCUUUUCUUUGGGUGGAUGUUGGGCUAAACCCGAGCGGGAAGCUGACUUUCUGGGAGGUGGAUCAGAUCGGGAAAUGUACCCAAAGACGAGUAUGCGUGCGCUAGAAUGGGAUUGACCUGUUCGGUCAGCCAACUCCUCGAUUCCCAACAUACAUCUUGAGGCUUCUUUUGCGUGCCUCGCAGCUCAGGCGCUUUACAUGCGGAAACUUGGAAAACUCGCCACUCUGAAUCGAUUGAUUUGCCCGCCUCACACGGGGCAGCCUCUCGGAGCCCCCUUGUCACAGGGUCACCAGUUUGGCUCGUCUAGCACAAACCGGCAGCCAGCCAGCCGUCUUCCUCUUUUUGACAAUCCAGGAAGUCGGGUGACGGCUGCUAACAAUGUGACGGGUUGACGGCGCACUCGUGCGCGCAUCCCGCCGCCUGUCUCAUUUCUUGCCCUCUUGGGACUUUUGAGAGGAAAAAAUAAAUAAAAAAAAUUGAAGCUGCACCGGGUGAUGUGUGCGAGGUCUUAGACCUCCUUUUUAAUGAUUGUAUAAUCGAACGUAAAGACAAAAAAAAAAUAUGGUUGGUGAAAAUUUAGAAAUGAAAUUAAAAUAUAUCUCAGGUAGUUCUCGGCAGCCGCGUGCUGCUGGCGUCAUUGAAAUGUGUCUUUUAGAAAUAAAAGUAGAUCUCCCCUACCCCUUUGACGAACCCUUUCCCCAUUUUGGAUCUUAGCGUUAGUCUGAUUCUUUUGUGUGUCCAUUUAAAUAAUAAUAAAAAAAAAUCGAAAUCCGAAAUAUUUCUUUUGAUGAACGACCCCCCCAACACCCAAUUAUUUCCUCUUUGUUUCUUUUACACCAUUUUCAAACACCACGCACCAUCUGAUGCUCAUUGGCCCUUUUAGAAUGUAUUUUGUGAAGAAAAGGGUUCAGCAUCCGGCCGAUGCCCGCUCUCGACAACCUGCCGCUGGACCGCAGCACAAGUCCGUAUUCCUUGCCACCGCAUUCCCACAUCAGCAAUAUUUGUAGCGGCGGGUGGCACAAACCAGCGUCAGCAUCUGUCCGGAUGGAGCUUGAGGGGGGUUUGCCCCUCAUUCGUCCAACCGGUGAUGGUCCAGCAGGCAGCUUGGAGGGAGUGGCUGUUUCUUGUUCAUCUGUUGUCAAAGCAGAUCUCCACUGAAUGUAACCCCUCACAGUCCCAAGAGGCAGCGCGACUGGAUGUGGCCCGCCGAGUUUAGUGAGUGCUGCUGGCGCUUCUUCAUCAGGGCUGGUGUGUGUGUGUGUGUGUGUGUGUGUGUGUGUGUGUGUUGUUUGUGUCUGUCUGUCCGUCACACACACUUUGUGCUGAGUGGAAGUGCAGAUGUAAGUCUAAAUAAGGCAAAGGAGACUGUAUAAUAUAUUUGGCCACCUGCUGCUCGCGCUGUACUCUUUGGACUUUAAACAUUUCCUAUGCAGUUUUUUUUUUUUUUUUGCUGUUGUUGUUGUUGUUGGUUUCUUUGUUUACACUUAAAUAAAGAUGUAUGUCUAACUUCAA